rnacentral:tRNA from 1 species
GUCGGUAGAUCCCGGUAGACACCCACCUAGAAGACUUCUAAUCCCAAGGCCGCAGGUUCGAAUCCUGCCGGGC